GGUGCUCUAACUCCACUCAACUUCCUUGACAAAACCAUUCUUACACAAUCCUGGGUCUACAGAACUGAGUACAUUGAUGAAAAAGAUUUCGAAGAUUAUUUCAAACGGAUGGAUAGCAUUCCACAGAGGAUCGAUGAGCUGAUACAGCUAAUGAAGGCAGCUAUUCGGUUAAACAGGACUUCACAUUUAGCUUCCAUAAACCGGCUAACAGAUGAAUUGCAGCUCUUCAAAAUUCAAGCCUCUCUCUUUUAUCCAAUCAAAUUAAAGGAAAUUAUUCUGGUGAAUCACAUCCCAAAUGAC
rnacentral:lncRNA from 1 species